rnacentral:rRNA from 1 species
GACGAACGCUGGCGGCGUGCUUAACACAUGCAAGUCGAACGGAAAGGCCCUGCUUUUGUGGGGUGCUCGAGUGGCGAACGGGUGAGUAACGCGUGAGUAACCUGCCCUUGACUUUGGGAUAACUUCAGGAAACUGGGGCUAAUACCGGAUAGGAGCUCCUGCUGCAUGGUGGGGGUUGGAAAGUUUCGGCGGUUGGGGAUGGACUCGCGGCUUAUCAGCUUGUUGGUGGGGUAGUGGCUUACCAAGGCUUUGACUGGUAGCCGGCCUGAGAGGGUGACCGGCCACAUUGGGACUGAGAUACGGCCCAGACUCCUACGGGAGGCAGCAGUGGGGAAUAUUGCACAAUGGGCGGAAGCCUGAUGCAGCAACGCCGCGUGCGGGAUGACGGCCUUCGGGUUGUAAACCGCUUUCGCCUGUGACGAAGCGUGAGUGACGGUAAUGGGUAAAGAAGCACCGGCUAACUACGUG